UAGUUAUUUAAUUUAUACAAAAUAUUUACCUUGAAAGUAAAACAAGAAUUUAUUUCUGUAACU
rnacentral:tRNA from 1 species